rnacentral:rRNA from 1 species
CCCGCACAAGCGGAGGAACAUGUGGUUUAAUUCGAUGAUACGCGAGGAACCUUACCUGGGCUUAAAUGGGGAGUGACAGCUGUCGAAAGAUGGUUUUCUUCGGACACUCUUCAAGGUGCUGCAUGGUUGUCGUCAGCUCGUGCCGUGAGGUGUCGGGUUAAGUCCCAUAACGAGCGCAGCCCUUACCGUUAGUUACCAUCAGGUUAAGCUGGGGACUCUAGCGGGACUGCCACCGUAAGGUGAGAGGAAGGUGGGGAUGACGUCAAAUCAGCACGGCCCUUAUGUCCAGGGCUACACACGUGUUACAAUGGCCAGUACAAAGGGCAGCUACCGGGUGACCGGAUGCUAAUCUCUAAAGCUGGUCUCAGUUCGGAUCGAAGUCUGCAACCCGACUUCGUGAAGCUGGAUUCGCUAGUAAUCGCGCAUCAGCCAUGGCGCGGUGAAUACGUUCCCGGGCCUU